rnacentral:sRNA from 1 species
GAGCAGUGUGAAGAAGAGGCGAGAACGACCCCCGGACCGACCAAAGCCCGCGCGCCGCUGCAUCCCGCGUCCAGCACCUACGUCCCGCUGCCGUCGCCGCCGCCACCAUGCCCAAGAGAAAGGCUGAAGGGGAUGCUAAGGGAGAUAAAGCAAAGGUGAAGGACGAAGUAAGUCAUUCUCUCUUCAAGGGUCAAAGCCUUGGACUAGCAGAGGCCACUGGACUCGGUGAUUAACCGUAACCUGUGUCCUGAAUUUACACUCCUAUAAUCUAGAGCAAAUUGAUACCAAACUUUCAAAGCGACUUACCUGUCUUAUUUCUAACUUUCUCGUUGUCUUUAUAGCCACAGAGAAGAUCCGCGAGGUUGUCUGCUAAACCUGCUCCUCCAAAGCCAGAGCCCAAGCCUAAAAAGGCCCCUGCAAAGAAGGGAGAGAAGGUACCCAAAGGGAAAAAGGGAAAAGCUGAUGCUGGCAAGGAGGGGAAUAACCCUGCAGAAAAUGGAGAUGCCAAAACAGACCAGGCACAGAAAGCUGAAGGUGCUGGAGAUGCCAAGUGAAGUGUGUGCA